GAUUGUCAAAUAAUAAUUAGCUACAAAAUUUAAAAUAAGAGUAAGGCAAAACAACAACAGAAGGAAAAAUUAAUGUCAAUAAUAGUAAUAAUAAAUAAUGUUAAAUAAUACUAAAUAGAUAGAUAGAUAAAUAAAUAGAAUAUAAAAAAUAAAGAACUAAGUUAAUUAUCAUUUUUUCACAAUAGUUGUCAUGUUAGCCGCCACCUCUUCGUUAUUCAACUACGUGUAGGAGUUUUAACCCUUGAAAACUACAUUUGAGAGGUUAAAUUGAGCGCAAUUUUUUAUUAAGGACUUAAUUUGUUUUUUAAUUCUUAUGAAAUUUUUCUAGCAUUUAAGUUUAUAUAUACAUACAUAAAAAUAAAAAAGAAAAUCUAAAAAUAAUAUUAUUGAGAAGGAUAACUAUAAACUCGAAAUAUUAAUUAUAAAACGAAUAUAAAAAAAUAAAAAAAUAAAACCCAAAAAUUAUGAGAAUCAAGUUUUCAAAAUUAAACUUGUCAAUCAAAAUUUAUUUUCUCUUUCUAAAUUUC
rnacentral:lncRNA from 1 species